rnacentral:lncRNA from 1 species
UGACAUGCUCACACAAUUUGUUUGCUUGGGACAGAAAUUAAGCAUUGAAACUAUGUUCCACAUGUGUGCUUAGCAUCACAUAAUUCAUAGCAAACUCAGCCGUGUACAAAUCUAGGUUCACCUAUGUAGCAUAUCUGGUUAAAUUUCACAUAUGUGAUUGCAAGUUCCAUCGACAAAUAUGUCCACACAAGUUCCUAAAGAUAAUACUCUACCAUAUCUAGAUCAUACUACUCUACUCUCUACUGUUGCCAAAAGACACAAUAAAACCCAUCCAUAGCCUUUGGUCUUCUUCGCCCUUGGGCCUCGGCGCAUUUGAACAGUACAGCAACAAGAGGCAAAUGAACAUACCAUCAAGGGUCACCUGGUAAGAGUUUUGCACAUUAUGUUAAUUCCCGCAAAGUAAAAAGUGCAAAAUAACAAAGCGGCACAUAUUUGUAGAAGGUAAAAGGUACAAGAACUUGCAGAAACUCGCUGUGCGCCCAAGCGUAAGUGGUCUCAGUAUCACAGACAUACUAUAGCUAUAUCCAGUACAUCAUUUUCCCAUUCAAAAUUCAUAAAGCCAAGCCUAUUUUAUUCAACAUCUUAGUGAAUAGCAAGUCUAUCACUUGGUUGAUUAAACAGAGCAAAGAAUCUAGAACUCUGGUCAGACUUCAUCAGGUGAGAUCAAACCUUAACCUUAUAAUCUACCUGAGACCCUGAUUUAAUAGUUGACAAUAUAUAAGCACAAUCAAAUGUAAAAUGGUUUAGACAAAGAACUAGAGAAAAUAUUAUUAUGCAUGAUAUGAAUCUGUUUAGUAGGUUUUACUAUGUUUGUCUAAAAUAAGUGAAAUUUAAGAGUUGAGCUGAAAAAUACGCAUAUAAUAGCUUACUGUUGUAUUUCAAAGUAAAGUGGCAACAGGCAAGCCUCAUGCAACAUACAAAAAUUAAAAAGGGAUGCCAUUUAUAUACCAUACAUCAAAAUCAUAAAUGUAAAGUGAAAUUUCUUUCGUGCAAUAGAUGUGAAGAUACUACAAGAAUUUAAACCACUAUUCAUAGCUGAGCUAUUGUGAAAGGAGCUUUUGGAUUUACUUUUGUUCCCUCCACUAGGCAUAUAAGAUGUGACAUAUGAUGGAAACAAAUUUUCAGCUACAUAUAUGGUAGAAAAUGUGCGGUAACUGAAAGUGCUAAUAACAUGUGAAAGGAGUAGUAAAAUUACAACCCCAACAUGCCCACAAACAACAGAAAUGUUGCUAUCUCUGGGGUCAAGUCCAAGAAGCUCUUCCUGUAGAUAGAUAAGGACAUUAAUAGGAAUUUGAGAAAAAACCCACAAAGAAACUAGUAAUAUAAUAGGGCACUAUGGCAAACUAUUUUGAAGCACACAACACAAAUCUAUUCGCUCUUACUACAUCAAGUGUUUUCAUCCCUAAUAGGAGCUUCAGAACAUGUUCCAUAAUUUUUUUAAUACUUCAGCAGACUCAAAUGAACAGAGAAAUUCAUGUAGAAUAAUAAUUGUACUAAAAUUACAUAAUGCUAGAACACACCAAAGAUAAUGAUAUGGGCAAAUCCGUUUUUUCACAUUAAGCAUGCGAAAUAAUAAUAUGCGUACAAUAGAGCUCAUGUAUUUGGGAAAAUAAGAAAUGUAUUUGCUGACCAGCAGAUCAUAGAAUUAAAUGUGAACAAGCUUAAAAAGAUCAUUCAAUUGCAGAAAAACUAUUUGCUGGUUAUACCUGAGGGGGAAAGUUAUUAUUGUCCGGCCUGCUGUUUGUCCUGGUCAACGACCUGAACUCAAACCUGUCUUCUCAUGCUGCAGUUCAGAGGAAAGAAAAUAUGGAGUAAGAAGAAUUAGAGCACAUAAUGAGACAAAGGGUGACAAAGGCACGAUGAGAGGGGAUCCGUCGCCGCUGCCGUUCACCAGAGCUAGGUGAGAAGAGGAUGAUAGACGGUGGAAUUGUGAAUUAGCUUUUGUGAUUACCUACUACUAUCACUAACUUUGUUAAUUGGCAUCUCAGUAAAGAUAGUUCCUAUUGUUGUGUGCUGGUAACAAAGUAGAAAAUUGCACAGCACAUGGAUGAUGCACCUGAACCUGACUAGGGAACACUGAAGCAAGCAUGGAAGCAUGGAAACAUCCACAAUAAUAGCAAAGCAUGGAUGAAUAAGCCUAGGAAAUCAUGUAACUACUUGAUUAGUUUAUUUAUCACUUCAAAUCAACAACUUAUUUAACUUCCUCCAACCGUGUGCAGUGUAGGGAAAUCCACGACAAUUACAAAGCAUGAAUAAGCCUAGGAAAUCAAUCAAACACUUGAUUUUCAGCCUGUGUGGUGGAAAAGCAUGGAGGGGAGCUUACCAGACGUGUUGUGGUCAUGAGAAGAGAAUGGGUCCGUAGAUCUCAUCACUUGGCAGUCGUUGAUGAAGCAUGCAGUAGAUCUAAUUUCAUUCCUCACGCGGCAGCUCCAAUCGAUCCCCAUCACCUAACCCGUGAAU